rnacentral:rRNA from 1 species
GACGAACGCUGGCGGCGUGCCUAAUACAUGCAAGUCGAGCGAACGAACGAGAAGCUUGCUUUUCUGAUGUUAGCGGCGGACGGGUGAGUAACACGUGGAUAACCUACCUAUAAGACUGGGAUAACUUCGGGAAACCGGAGCUAAUACCGGAUAAUAUUUUGAACCGCAUGGUUCAAAAGUGAAAGACGGUCUUGCUGUCACUUAUAGAUGGAUCCGCGCUGCAUUAGCUAGUUGGUAAGGUAACGGCUUACCAAGGCAACGAUGCAUAGCCGACCUGAGAGGGUGAUCGGCCACACUGGAACUGAGACACGGUCCAGACUCCUACGGGAGGCAGCAGUAGGGAAUCUUCCGCAAUGGGCGAAAGCCUGACGGAGCAACGCCGCGUGAGUGAUGAAGGUCUUCGGAUCGUAAAACUCUGUUAUUAGGGAAGAACAUAUGUGUAAGUAACUGUGCACAUCUUGACGGUACCUAAUCAGAAAGCCACGGCUAACUACGUG